GGAUGAAGAACGUAGCGAAAUGCGAUAAGUAAUGUGAAUUGCAGAAUUCCGUGAAUCAUCGAAUCUUUGAACGCACAUUGCGCCCCCUGGCAUUCCGGGGGGCAUGCCUGUCCGAGCGUCAUUUCUGCCCUCCAGCCCGGCUGGGUGUUGGGCGCUGUCCCCCCGGGGACACGCCCCAAAGGCAGUGGCGGCGCCGCGUCGGGUCCUCGAGCGUAUGGGGCUUUGUCACCCGCUCGGGACGGACUCGUCGGCGCUGGUCUUCCUCCAGGCGACCCUUCGGGGCUCGUCUUCCUUCGGUUGACCUCGGAUCAGGUAGGGUUACCCGCUGAACUUAAGCAUAUCAUAAGCGGAGGA
rnacentral:misc_RNA from 1 species